UUGGCAUGUCAAGAAAGAAGCUUUGCUAGAAGAGGGUGGUGGCCCGAGGGUGGAAAUCCUGACUCCUAGCCCCUCCUGAGAGCUGUGUAGUGGUUAGCUCUGCUCUGGGCACCAGAUCCAAUCCUGAUCUUAAGCUAGGAGCUUGGCAUCCCUGUGCCAUGUGACUCAGCUGUGAUAGUGUGUUCUAAUUUUCCUAAGGAGGUGUCUUCUAUCUACAAGUUUCCUUCCAGGCAUGAUGGUAGCUGGACUUCGCGUUCCUCCGCCGGGCUCUUAUCUAAUGACCUUGUCCAUUUGUAACUGCUGUCUCCCAUUGCUGUUUCGUUUCCAAAAGUCAGAGUCAAGAGUUCCGCAGCCUUGAAUAUCACUUAACUCCCACUAGCCCGGAUGUCACCUGCUUCCAGAUUUUCCAUGUCAUCUCUUGAAUCAAUGCUGGGACACGCUCUGCUCCUCUGGGCUGUCCCUCUUCCCCUCCCCAGACAAAUCUGAUACUUACAUUACUCACAUUCAAACUGCACAUCCAAUGUCUAGCACAGUGCCUGGUUCAGGGUUGGUAUUCAAGAAAUAUUAGGCAAAGGAAUGAAUUCAUUCUCUCCGUAGCCGGGACUUUCUUCCAGUGUUUACUGGAAAUUUAUCUUCGCAGGUGUUCUAAGUCUCAGCACAGCCAGGUUGCCUCCCUGAGCUGGGACACCGCAGCAAGCUGGCAUGCAUCUUAGCAUGAACCUGGAGCCAGGAUCCUGGGAUCUCUAUGAUGAAAUUCUAGAAGCUGCUCUGAUUCACUUGAAAACGACGAAAGGAAGAAAGCCUAUUGUAAGAAUUGAGCACAACUUUUGAAAGAGGUCUUCUCUUCAAUUAUAACCUCGGUGGGUCCAGCACAGAGAGAGGAUCACAGAGCUCAAGAAAAGGUGAAGGAGUGGCCAGACCGGAGGGAGAGGAUGAAAACUGGACAAAGCUGGUUUUUACUCAAGGGCUCCAGAAGGGCAGGUUGGCAGGAGAAACUAACAAACCUUUCUGAAAAGGAAGUGUAAGAGUAACUUACCAGAGAGGGUAAAUAAGGGAACACACCUUCAGUCAAGGCUGCUUUAACCAAGACAACAGCCAUUAGCAAAAUGAUAAUAUAAUAAAUCAAUGCCGUGGAUCCAAGGUGGUUUCGAAGUCAAAAGCUUCUGGUAGGUGUCCCAGCAUUUUCUGGGAAGAAGUUUGCCUUCCAAAGUCAAAAGCAAAAAUGCUUACAAAAUGCAUGUGUCAUUAAGGCCCCUGGGCACUGCAGAAAUGCAUUAGCUAUGGGGUUGCUAAAUGUUUCUUGCAAACUGAAGUACAGGAAAUGAAGGGUGUGGCGCAGCACAGCCCCAGGAGGACCUUCAGGGUUGAGAGUGUUCUGUACCUUGCAAUGUCAGGGAUGAGCGCCGAUACAAGGCUAGUAUUUAACUUUACUUCAUAAUGUGAACCACCUUCCUAUUUAAAUAGCCAUGUUUUUAAAGUAGCUUUCAUAUUUGAAAUGUGAGCUGUGGAUCAAGAAUUGUUUGGCUGGAAGGAUUCAACUUCUGCAGGGGUGGGUGGACUUCUACAGAGGUGGGUGGAUUUUUGUAAAGGGCACUGGGUUACCACUCUUUUUGACACAAAAGCCUUUUCUUAGAUUUCAAUUUUCUUUCCUCACCUGAAAUGAACAGUCGCCAAAGGACUAUGAAGUAGUUUUAAGUUUUCUUUGACAAGUCUUGCUCAGUGGCCUCAAUCUCAUUAUAUAAUACAACAUGUGUUUGGUGCAUCAACUCUGAUGGCCUCAAUCUCAUUGUGUAAUAUGGCAUGGGUUUGAUGGGUCAGCUUGGCUAGCAGUACCAUUUAAUGUCAUCAGGGUCUUUGAGGUGUCUACCAUAGGGGGUGGUGAUGAGUACUCUACGGACUUCUAUACACGGGGUGCCAGUCUUCUUUGGGGAUCACUGCCUCUGCCACUCAGUGUUUAGUAAGUAUAGUUCUAAAUUAUUUGUUCUGUUUAAUGUUCAGCUAUGAAGUCAUACACCAAUAGACUAGCCAUAAAAAUAUUUAAAAUGCCGCAUCUACUAUUUUGUUAAUCUUGGUUAUCAACUUGACAUACUUGGGAACAGAGAGCCUCAACUGAGGGACCACACCCAUUGAGUUAGCCUGUAGGUGCGUUUGUGGAACGUUUCUUAAUUGUCAACUGGUGUAGUUGUCUGGCCUACUGUGAGCCAUCUAAUCCCUAGGCAGCAACAGAAAACAAACCAGAAUGCUGUUGUCAAUGGAUGGUCUUCUGCAGUAUAUUAAAAAUCAUUAUUUUUAUGUAAGCUUUUGUUACUUGAGGUUUUCAUUUGUGCCCUCAUCAUCUGUGGUGAGAGCCUAGGUCUUCAGGCUCACAGAUCACUGCCUUUGUCGGCAUCUGAUAAUCCCAGUGUGCAGUGUGUUGCAAACUUGGUAAAGAAAUUGGAAUGCAUUCUGAGCUGAUUAAGUACUAUGACUAGAUAGGUUAAGAGUUGAAGUCACACUUUAAUCAUAUCACUGGUCUAUGUGUGAAGUUAUGUAUGUGAAAUGUAUAAAAUAUUUGCUACCACUCUAUGUCUCGUUGGUCUUAUAGCGAGCUGUUUAUAUCUUAGAUAGUCUUUUAUAACUCAGGGGCACUGGUAUUUUAGUCUUGGUCUGUAAUCAUUAAAGAAAAAUCAUUGAAGCUGGCUUGAAAAUGUAUUUUCUGCUUGUGCUUAUACAUGUUAG